AUACGUAGGUGCCAAGCGUUAUCCGGAUUUACUGGGCGUAAAGGGCGUGUAGGCGGUCUUGCAAGUCAGAAGUGAAAUUCCUGAGCUCGACUCGGGCGCUGCUUCUGACACUGCAGGACUUGAGUGCUGGAGGGGAUAGCGGAAUUCCUAGCGGAGCGGCCAAAUGCGCAGAUAUUAGGAAGAACACCGGUGGCGAAGGCGGCUAUCUGGACAGUAACUGACGCUGAGGCGCGAAAGCGUGGGGAGCAAACAGGAUAAGAUCCCCUGGUAGUCCACGCCGUAAACGAUGAAUACUAGGUGUAGGGGGUAUCGACUCCCUCUGUGCCGCAGUUAACACAAUAAGUAUUCCGCCUGGGGAGUACGGCCGCAAGGUUGAAACUCAAAUGAAUUGACGGGG
rnacentral:rRNA from 1 species